UACAGAGGGUGCAAGCGUUAAUCGGAAUUACUGGGCGUAAAGCGCACGUAGGCGGCGAUUCAAGUCAGAGGUGAAAGCCCGGGGCUCAACCCCGGAACUGCCUUUGAAACUAGAUUGCUAGAAUCCUGGAGAGGCGAGUGGAAUUCCGAGUGUAGGGGUGAAAUUCGUAGAUAUUCGGAAGAACACCAGUGGCGAAGGCGACUCGCUGGACAGGUAUUGACGCUGAGGUGCGAAAGCGUGGGGAGCAAACAGG
rnacentral:rRNA from 1 species